ensembl:lncRNA
AUAUAUAUAUAUAUAUAUAUAUAUAUAUAUAUAUGUAUGUGUAUAUAUAUGUGUAUAUAUGUAUAUGUAUGUGUAUAUAUAUGUGUAUAUAUAUAUAUAUAUAUAUAUAUAUAUAUAUAUGUAUGUAUAUAUAUAUAUAUAUAUAUAUAUAUAUAUAUAUAUAUGUGUGUGUGUGUGUGUGUGUGUGUGUGUGUGUGUGUGUGUGUGUAUGUAAAAAAAGAAGCUUUUAAACCACUUCAACCAUUUGCAAUUUAUUUUUAUUUUGUUUUUAAACUACAGCCAUGAGAGGGCCAAAGUCUGUCUUCAUAGAUAACACUGUCACAGGUUACCUCAAAGCAUCAAUACUGGCUGUCCUAUUUACUUCCACACCAGUUUUCUGUACCAUAAUGUCUAUUUUAAAUGGCAAACAAAAAGAUGUAAUAAGAGAGUAUUAACCUUAAACAUUCCUAUAAUGUAUUCUGGAGACCUAGGCUUUCUAAAACCUAAUCUACUGUAGAUACUGAUGCCAUCAUAAGAAAUAUAUAGUGUACUAAUGUGGAUGCCAAGCAAGUAUCACUUAUUAGCAGGUUAUUAUUAUGAAAAUGCUUUUUCUUCAAUUAUUUAACUCUGUUACCUUAAAGACAGAAAUCCCUCAUUCACUACAAGAAAUCUGUAUAAAAUAAAAAGUAUUGUAGGAUGGUCACCACUAUUAAUUGGACCUUAAAGAGUACAGAUGUGCUGUUUCUUGCCUGUGAGCCCCUGAUCUAGUACUCAUCUAACAACAUGAAUUAGUGGAGAGAUACACUGCCACUUGCCGUCGGCAAACUGCUGUGGUUGUUACAAAAUAGAAUUGUCAUUUAGUAAUUCUUAAUAUGAAAAUGUACUUUAAAUGUUUGAAGCUGGUAAUGAACUACUGUAUAGCUUAAUGAUGUCAAGAGUGAUUGCAAUGCUGCUUGAUUUUUAAUGUUCUUCUAUAUGUGUACUAUAAUGGUAUAUUUUGUACUUAUAAGGAUGCCUCUUAAGAUGGUCAAUGUAAACCAAACUACUAAAUGCUAUGCUAUGUUUAAAGAGCUUAUCUGAUUGUCUUACCUGUGGUCUGCACUGAUCCUUGCUGAUGAAUUUAAUCAAAGUUAUUAUGGUAUACAUAUAUACUGUUCAGCACAAGUGUAACAAUGUUGUGUAUUGUCUGUACUUUUGUACUUUUUAGAAGCUGUCCUGUCUUACACAACUUUCAGCAACAUACACACUAGUUAUGUGUUUUCCAUGCUCUGUCUAUUGUGCCAGAAUGAUUGUACUAUAACAAAUGAGAGAGACCCUAAUAGAAUAUUGUAAUACAGCCUAAUAAUUAUGUUAAGUACCUUAGAAUGUUCUUCAGGUGGGUUUGGCACACAUUUUCACACUGCCAAAUUGUUGUUCAAAUUGAGACAUGUUCAGAGUGAGGCACACCACAAUCUGUGUUUAGUACAAUUUAUGUCAAAGGCCCAAAAUAUUAAACCUCUUAGGAAUAAUACACUGUAGAAGAGGGAGAAGGACACUUGAGCUGUCCUGUCACCCCACCGUAAAGCCUUACUCUUAAGACUGAUUAUAUAUUUUGUUUUAAGUACUCACUCCAAAAAGCAAAGCAUACAGCUAAUUACAAACACUUUAUAUAUUGAAGUGCACUUGAUUUUAAAUGACUGACAUGUUUCUGGAUUUUAAAUGAUAUGUUUCCUCCCUUUGGAAUAUUGUAUUUAUGUCCAACUGUUGAAGAAUAAAUUGCUAAAUAAAAAAACC